rnacentral:rRNA from 1 species
GCAACUCGCCUACAUGAAGUCGGAAUUGCUAGUAAUCGCGGAUCAGCAUGCCGCGGUGAAUACGUUCCCGGGCCUUGUACACACCGCCCGUCACACCAUGGGAGUCGGUAACACCCGAAGCCUGUAGUCUAACCGCAAGGGGGACGCAGUCGAAGGUGGGAUUGAUGACUGGGGUGAAGUCGUAACAAGGUAAC